rnacentral:misc_RNA from 1 species
UCCAUCUCGGAGCAACCAUAAAUUUCCUGCAUGCACAUCUGCAUGGAAGGAUUCACAUGAAAUCAAGCUUCCAAACCAGACAUUAAGUGCAGUGACUAAAGUCAGCUCAGGAUCAGGAACAAGAGACCUUAUAGAAUCAAGGUCAGUGAGUGGAACACCGUACAAUCUUUCCAUAGUUAGGACACGCUUUGUGCUACAGUGGCG